UACGUAGGGGGCAAGCGUUGUCCGGAAUCAUUGGGCGUAAAGAGCGUGUAGGCGGCUCGGUAAGUCCGCUCUGAAAGCCCGGGGCUCAACCCCGGGAGGCGGGCGGAUACUGUCGGGCUAGAGUCCGGAAGAGGCGAGUGGAAUUCCUGGUGUAGCGGUGAAAUGCGCAGAUAUCAGGAGGAACACCAAUGGCGAAGGCGACUACCUGGCCUGUUCUUGACGCUGAGGCGCGAAAGCUAGGGGAGCAAACGGG
rnacentral:rRNA from 1 species